UACGAAGGGGGGCUAGCGUUGCUCGGAAUCACUGGGCGUAAAGCGCACGCAGGCGGUGCUGCGCGUUUGGGGUUACAGCUCCCGGCUCAACCGGGAGAGCGCCUCGAAGACGGCAGCACUUGAGGGCCAGAGAGGGACACGGAACUCCGGGUGGAGUGGUGAAAUGCGUAGAUAUCCGGAAGAACACCAAAGGCGAAGGCAGUGUCCUGGCUGGUACCUGACGCUCAGGUGCGAAAGCUAGGGGAGCGAACGGG
rnacentral:rRNA from 1 species